AGUGAACGCUGGCGGUAGGCCUAACACAUGCAAGUCGAACGGCAGCACAGUAAGAGCUUGCUCUUACGGGGGGCGAGUGGCGGACGGGUGAGGAGUACAUCGUAAUCUACUUUUUCGUGGGGGAUAACGUAGGUAAACUUACUCUAAUACCGGAUACGACCUACGGGUGAAAGCAGUGGAUCGUCUGACCUUUCGCGAUUGAAUGAGCCGAUGUCGGAUUAGCUAGUUGGCGGGGUAAAGGCCCACCAAGGCGACGAUCCGUAGCCGGUGUGAGAGGAUGGUAAGCCGCCCUGGAGGUGAGCCACCGUCCAGACUACUACGGGACGCCGCAGAGGCGAAUAUUGGACAAUGGGGGGAAGCAUGGUCCAGUCGUCCCGCGUGGGAGAAGACGGCCUUCGGGUUGUAAAGACGUUUUGUUGGGAAAGAAAAGCAGCAGGUUAAUACCAAGCUGUUCUGACGGUACCCAAAGAAUAAGCACCGGCUAACUUCGUG
rnacentral:rRNA from 1 species